rnacentral:rRNA from 1 species
CAGCUGUCAGCAUGCCGCGUGUGUGAGAGGCCUUCGGGUUGUAAAGCACUUUUGUCCGGAAAAAAUCUUGGCUCUAAUACAGUCGGGGGAUGACGGUACCGGAAAAUAAGCACCGGCUAACUACGUGCCAGCAGCCGCGGUAAUACGUAGGGUGCGAGCGUUAAUCGGAAUUACUGGGCGUAAAGCGUGCGCAGGCGGUUUGCUAAGACCGAUGUGAAAUCCCCGGGCUCAACCUGGGAACUGCAUUGGUGACUGGCAGGCUAGAGAUGGCAGAGGGGGGUAGAAUUCCACGUGUAGCAGUGAAAUGCGUAGAGAUGUGGAGGAAU